UCGUGCAGCGCGGUCACGUGACAGUUCCCCCGAACAGGAGCAGCUCUGGCUGCCCGUCACUUCAGCAGCUGCCACAGGAGCUGAGGCACAGUUUGAAGAAUCCCCGAGCAACGUUAUCAUCAUGAGCCUGAAUUUGACACUGUGGUGAUUUGCUCGGACACUGAACGUGAAUCAUGGUUGCUCGCAUUAACAACGAGGACCACGCUGCACGAAGACACUGGGCUCGGAACUUCACGGGAAGCCCAGGAACCGCUCCAGCCUCCACUGACGUCACGAAGCCCCUUCUCUGCAGCAGAGAGCGGCAGGCCUGCAGAGGACGACCGGGGAGGGAGGAGGAGAGAGGCGUGGAGGAGAGAGAGAGAGAGAGAGAGACGGCGUUCAAACGGAGCCGAUGGUGCACAUUCCAAAAAAUGCAUCCUGGUUGAAGAGGGAGGAUGGUACCUGCUGCCUCUGAGGCUGUGGGUGUGUAAAGAUGACAGCUCAGCGCCCACAGGAUGGACGGACGGGCUGACAGACAGACAGGCAGGCAGGCAGACAGGCAGACAGAUAGACAGGCAGGCAGACAGAUAGACAGGCAGACAGAUAGACAGGCAGGCAGACAGAUAGAUAGACAGACAGGCAGGCAGGCAGGCAGGCAGGCAGAUAGACAGGCAGGCAGGCAGACAAACAGACAGACUGACUGACUGACUGACAGGCAGGCAGGCAGGCAGGCAGGCAGGCAGAUAGACAGACUGACUGACUGACUGACUGACUGACAGGCAGGCAGGCAGGCAGACAGACAGACUGACUGACUGACUGACAGAUAGACAGGCAGACAGACAGGCAGAUAGACAGACAGAUAGACAGGCAGGCAGGCAGACAAACAGACUGACUUACUGACUGACUGACAGACAGGCAGGCAGAUAGACAGACAGACUGACUGACUGACAGACAGGCAGGCAGGCAGAUAGACAGACAGACUGACUGACUGACUGACUGACUGACAGGCAGGCAGACAGACAGACAGACAGACAGACUGACUGACUGACAGAUAGACAGGCAGACAGAUAGACAGACAGGCAGGCAGGCAGAUAAACAGGCAGGCAGACAAACAGACCAACAGGCAGACAGACAGCGUGUCCUAUUCCAAGCUGGUUAAACAAAUUGGCCCUACUGGCUGCAGCUGUGCAAAUCUGAAUCUUUUAGUCAAAGGGAGAAACGUUGUGUAUUGUUUACAUGUCUGCACCGUCCCACUGGUGUGUUCCAUACAAUGAAUAGCCCUAAGAACCACAUUCUCCAUUUGUUUUUGGUGAUGGGAGGUGGGAAAGUUGCUGUAGCAGCACAGAUGAGCUCCUCUGCAUGUGUUUCGGUUUGACCUUAACGUCACUCCUUAGGUUACACCUCAUACAGUGCAUGUUAACACAAUGUGUGUGUUGGCCCCUAGAAUCUACUGAUGGAGAUGUUACCGAUGCACUAAACUAAACUCCCAACAUUGUUAUCCUGACGUGUAAAUGUCGUCUUCUGAGGAUUUUUCCUAUACGACCAAUUGUUUCAGCUCAUCCACAUUGUAAUUAAUGGCACUGAGCUCCAUCGUAGACUCCCAUUAGACCACACCAGCACCUGCUGAUCCUGGACUCCCUGCGUUCUCUGGUCAAACCCUCAGUCGACCCCCUCCGGUUUGCAUAUUAACCCCAUCUAGGAGUGGAGGACGCCAUCAUACAUCUGCUCCAUCACAGCUACAACCACCUGGACACGCCUGGCGCCUCAGUGAGGAUCAUGUUUGAGCUCUCCAGUGCAUUUAACACCAUCCAGCCUGAGCUGCUGGGGGAGAAACUGAAGGACAUGCAGGUGGAGCCCCGCCGAUCUCAUGGAUCAUGGACUACUUCACCAACCGCCCCAGUAUGUCCGCCUGCAGAACUGUGUCUGACACCGUGCUCUGCAGCACAGGGUCUCCACAGGGGACAGUCCCCCCCACACAGUGUGUGGCUGGACAGAGGAGCACCUUCAGCCAGAGGCUGAUCAGUAUUAGGUUCUCCAUAGAACGCCACCAGAGUUCCUUCCCACCGGUGCCAUCAGUCUGUACAACUCCUCCUCUGUCUGUAAGAGUUGGUCUUCAUCCAUGCAAUAACAUGUAUAAUAAAAUGUUAUAGUAAUUAGAUGUAAUUAGACAACAGUAAUUAGACUGGAUGUGAGUGUGUAGAUGUGUUCGCAUUCUAUUUUUAAUCUCCCGUCCUCCUUGUGUGGACCUCCAUCUGUGACAGCGAUCAACGUGUGCAAAAUAAUUUCCCUCUGAGAUUAAUAAAGUUUUUUGAAUCUGAAUCUUGCUUUGGACUGGAAGCAGAGCAGCAGCAUCUUUGUUCAUGGUCUCAGGCACCCGUAGGUUGCCUGGGCCUGAGGCAGCCCACAGCAUUACGCUGCCGCCGCCACCACGAGAACCGUGGAACAAAACAGGAAUCGCAUGGAGCCCAGUAAUUCUGUGGCGUUAUCGCCGUCUGUCAGAUCCCUGCAUCAGUGACAUGUCUUUUUGUAUUUUUGAUUUUGUGAAAAAUAUCAAAAUCUAUGGUAAUUUUUGUGGCUGAAUAAAUUAUGAAGGUGGCCAAUA